UACGACCAUCUCUCGUUGAAACACAGGUUCCCGUACAAUCACCGAAGUUAAGCAAUGUCGAGACUGGGCAGUACCUAGAUGGAUAACCUCUUUGGAAUACCAGGUGU